AUCCUACGGGAGGCAGCAGUGGGGAAUAUUGCACAAUGGGGGAAACCCUGAUGCAGCGACGCCGCGUGAGUGAAGAAGUAAUUCGUUAUGUAAAGCCCUAUCGGCAGGGAAGAAGCAAGACGGUACCUGACUAAGAAGCCCCGGCUAACUACGUGCCAGCAGCCGCGGUAAUACGUAGGGGGCGAGCGUUAUCCGGAUUCACUGGGUGUAAAGGGAGCGUAGACGGCCAAGCAAGCCAGGGGUGAAAGCCCGGGGCCCAACCCCGGGACUGCCCUUGGAACUGCAUGGCUGGAGUGCGGGAGGGG
rnacentral:rRNA from 1 species